AAACAAAAAAUUAACCAGUAUCAUUGGCUGCCUGUAGAUCACCAACAUACGGGCGGUCCCUCUAAGCUGGAAGAAGAAACCUUUCUUAUUAGAACAGCCUAAGUUCUGUCGUGCGAACCAGUCCCAACACGUUCCAUGACACUAAUGUCGUUCUAACAAUA
rnacentral:snoRNA from 22 species